rnacentral:lncRNA from 1 species
AUGUUUGGGGCCUUUUAAAAGGCAAAAGUCCUUUGAAGUUUCCAAAAGUCAGGAAAUCCUGACUUUUUUUUCCCAAAAGUCCUUUUCAAUAAGUUAAAAAUAAGCUAAGCCAAACAUGCACUUAAACUCGGUGACAGUGACGAUGGUGGUGGCUGAAUUAGGGUUCCGACGCGGUGGUUCUAAAGCGUUGUUGCGGCGUCGUCACCACAAUCACCAUCGUUUUGCACUUGCAAAACCCUAACAUCGAACACUAGGUCGUCAGAAUCGCCUUGAAUCGAAGACCAGUGGAACACCCGUCUGCAUUUCUACCAACAUUAUCACUACUGUCAACCUCCGCAUCCACACUCACACCUCUGAUAAGAGGAUGAGGAUGAAUGCAUGGAUUCAGGAUUCGUAGAGGAAAGGAGGCUACCCCGCGGUUCGAAUCGACGAUAAGUUCUCCGUUGGUGGAUACAUCGCUCAACGGAAGCUCGGAUGGGGCCAGUUCUCCAAUGUUUGGCUUGCGUAUGAUUCUCAAACAUCUGUAAGUUUUUUGUUCUGUUCUGUUUGAUAUAUGAUCAUGUACAGUGAUAGUUUGCAGGGCCGACUCUAGCCCAAAUGAAAUAAAGCCACUGCUUUAGGCCUCCAAAAUUUUGGGGCCUCAAAUUUUAUAGGUUUGACUUCAGGUUAGACCCAACAUCCCAACUUAUUCAUUUGAAAUUGAUCAACGUUUGCAGUUUCAGUAAGAAAUCCAUCCAUUGCGUAUUAUUCCCAUGAGAGAAAUCUAUUACCCAAUUAGCUAAUCCCCACCUCCCCACUUUGUAUUGAUAAACGAACAGACACUAUUUGAUUUGAUCU